CCCAGGGAGCAGCCCAGGGGCCGCCCCAGCAUUCAGGCUUUCCCUCUGGAUGUUUUUAGAAGAUUCAACAGUGAGACCCAUCUCUCUCCACUUUCCCUCCAUCCCAGGAAGCGGAAUCUGCAAAGUGCCUUGUAAAGUUCCUUAAGGGAGGAGCCAUCACAGCUGAAAUGAAGCCCAAGGAAGAAAAAGUGAAAAUAAUUACAGAGGAGUUCAUUGAAGACGGGGAGGAUGCAGAUGAGGCAAGACAGAAGAAGACCUCGAAGGUUCCAAGACAAAAAAGAAAGAAGCAGUUGCUGGCUGCUGGACCCGAGGAAAUGGUACCUGGAAAAUCCCAUGUAGACAACCAGCAGGACUCCAUGCACGAAGGUUCUGACACUCGCCUAUUUGGUAUGACAAGCCGACGAGGCCCACGGAGCUUACCUCCAAUUCCUUCAGCUUCCAGAACAGGCUUUGCAGAAUUUUCCAUGAGAGAACGCAUGAGGGAGAAAUUACAGGCUGCAAGGUCCAAAGCAGAAAGUGCAUUGCUGCAGGAAAUUCCCACUCCUCGGCCCAGGCGCUUACGAAGUCCCAGUGAGAAAGAAUUGGAGACUGAAUUUGGCACGGAGCCCCAUAGGGAGGUACAAAGGACUCAACAAGAAGAUGACGCCCAAGGUUACUCAAGAGUAAAGUUCCAGGAUUCUGUACGAAAAAUCAAGUCUAAACGCCCGGUUCCACCCGGCUUCCCUUCUGCCGAGGAAGCCUAUAACUUCUUUACUUUCAACUUUGAUCCCGAACCAGAAGAAUCAGAGGAAAAACCAAAAGCAAAGAGUAGACAUGGAACUAACCAAGAGGAGAAGGAAGGAGAGGAAGAAGAGCCACCUAUGCAAGAAGGAGUAAACAAAACGGAUGAGGAAGAGCUUCUCGAUGGCAGAGACGCUGAGGAUCUCCUACUGGGCUUAGACCAUAUGGCUGAAGACUUUGUGGCCAUCAGACCUGCAGAUUAUGAAAGUGUCCACGUUCGGCUGCAGAUGGAAAAAGAACUCCUGUUCAUACCCAGCAAGCUGACAGUGCCUACGUAUAAAAAGCUUCCUGAGAAUGUGCAGCCCAGGUACCUGGAAGACGAAGGCCUUUACAUUGGGGAAAGACCGCAGGUGCCGAGAACAAACCAGAAUAUCGUGGAGAACAGAUUGCUGGCGCAGGAGCCUGGGAGGAGAUGGUUCGGGGAUGAUGGAAGAAUCCUUGCACUGCCAAACCCCAUCAAGCCGUUUCCUUCACGACCACCCGUGUUGGCGCAGAAGCAAGACACUAAGGCUGAACUUGAAACACUGUAUAAAAAGGCAGUAAAAUAUGUCCACAGAAGUCAGCAUUUGAUUGGCUCUGGAGACCCUCCUGGAAAUUUCCAACUGGACAUUGAUAUUUUAGGGUUAAUCUUCACCCAUCAUCCCUGUUUUAGCCGAGAGCAUGUUUUGGCAGCUAAGCUGGCCCAACUGUAUGACCAGUACCUUGCAAGACGCCAGAGAAACAAGGCACAAUUUCUUACUGACAAGCUCCAGGCUCUCAGAAAUGCUGUUCAGAUGGGCCUUAAUCCGGCAAAAACUCCUAAGUCUGUUGAAACAACCCCAAAAGCCAUCAAUGAGUAUAAAUCUGAAAUUCGGCAAACAAGAAAACUGCGUGAUGCUGAACAAGAAAAAGAUCGAACAUUGCUUAAGACCAUCAUAAAAGUUUGGAAAGAGAUGAAAUCCCUUCGAGAGUUCCAGAGGUUUACCAACACACCCUUGAAACUUGUUUUGAGAAAGGAAAAAGUCGACCAGAAAGCCGAUGAAGAAGCAUAUGAAGCAGAAAUUCAGGCUGAGAUACAUGAGUUGUUGGAAGAGCACACAGAAGAGUACGAACAGAGGAUGGAGGAGUACAGAAGUGCGCAGCAGCAGUGGAAAGCCUGGAAGAAAGCCCAGAGGGCCAAAAGGAAGAAAAAGAAGCAAGCAGUCGAGGAACAUCCUGAGGAGAUGAUGGAGGAGCCAGAUCCCGGGGAGGAGCCUGUGAAACCAGUGCCUCCAGAGCCUCCGGAUUGGGCUGUGAUAGAGCAACAGGUGAGGGAGAGAGCAGCCCAGAGCCGGAGGAGGCCCGGGGAGCCCACGCUGGUCCCAGAGCUGAGCCUUGCGGGGAAUGUGACGCCCAACGACCAGUGUCCCAGAGUGGAGGUCUUGCGAAGGGAGGACGUCAAGAGGCGCUCGCUGUAUUUGAAGGUGACCUUCAACAACAAGGAAGUGUCCAGGACCGACAGUCGGCCACUCGGGGCGGACUUCCGAGUUCACUUUGGACAGAUUUUCAACUUGCAAAUAUUCAACUGGCCAGAGAGUUUAACACUGCAGGUAUACGAAACAGUUGGACACAGUGGUACCACCUUGCUAGCAGAAGUGUUUCUGCCUGUUCCUGAAACUACUGUUGUCACUGGAAGAGCUCCCAUUGAAGAAGUGGAGUUUAGCAGUAACCAGCAUGUGACACUGGACCACGAGGGAGUUGGAAGUGGAGUACCCUUCUCAUUUGAAGCUGACGGCAGUAAUCAACUGAUUCUGAUGACCUCAGGGAAAGUGUCCAACAGUGUGGCAUGGGCCAUUGGAGAAAACGGGGUUCCUUUAAUUCCUCCAUUGUCGCAGCAGAAUAUUGGAUUUAGAAGCGCUUUGAAGCGAGCAGAUGCCAUCUCAUCUAUCGGCACAUCAGGGCUGACAGACAUGAAAAAGUUGGCCAAGUGGGCAGCAGAGUCCAAGCUCGACCCCAAUGACCCCAGCAACGCCCCUCUGAUGCAGCUCAUCUCGGUUGCUACCAGUGGUGAAUCCUACAUCCCUGAUUUCUUUCGACUGGAACAGCUACAACAGGAAUUUAACUUUGUUUCAGAGGAGGAACUAAACAGAUCCAAACGAUUCAGGCUUCUUCGUCUUAGAAGCCAAGAGGUGCCAGAAUUCCGAAAUUAUAAACAAAUUCCAAUAUAUGACCGAGAAAUUAUGGAAAAGGUAUUCCAGGACUAUGAGAAACGGUUACGAGAGAGAAAUGUAAUUGAAAGCAAGGACCACAUCGAUACCCAUAGGUCCAUAGUAGCCAAGUACCUCCAGCAGGUUAGAGAGUCAGUGAUAAAUCGUUUUCUAAUUGCGAAACACCAUUUUCUUCUUUCGGAUUUGGUAGUAGAAGAAGAAGUUCCCAAUAUCAGCAUUUUGGGCCUGAGCCUUUUCAAGCUGGCAGAACAAAAACGACCACUGAGGCCAAGGAGAAAAGGUCGGAAGAAGGUGACAGCCCAAAACCUGUCCGAUGGAGACAUAAAGCUGCUGGUGAACAUUAUCCGGGCUUAUGACAUUCCGGUGAGGAAGCCAACGACAAGCAAAUUCCAGCAGCCAUCAAGAUCUUCAAGGACCUUCAGCGAAAAGCGUGCCACGUCUCCAACCACUCACAGCCCAACCCACGGUGCUGACUACCCCCUUGGCCAGGUUUUAGUGCGUCCUUUUGUAGAAGUGUCAUUUCAGCGAACAAUCUGCCAUACGACUACGGCUGAAGGACCGAACCCCAGCUGGAAUGAGGAACUUGAACUUCCAUUUAGGGCCCCCAACGGGGAUUACAGCACCACCAGUCUGCAGUCAGUGAAAGAUGACGUGUUCAUCAACAUUUUUGAUGAAGUGCUAUACGAUGUCUUAGAGGAUGACCGUGAAAGAGGAAGUGGAAUCCACACCCGCAUUGAGAGACACUGGUUGGGAUGUGUGAAAAUUCCGUUUAGCACGAUAUACUUCCAAGCAAGGAUCGAUGGGACAUUUAAAAUCGAUAUUCCCCCAGUUCUUCUGGGCUACAGUAAGGAGCGAAGUGUGAUUAUGGAGCGGGGUUUCGAUGCUGUCCGAAGCCUGAGUGAAGGCUCCUACAUCACCCUGUUCAUUACCUUGGAGCCUCAGCUGGUUCCUGGGGAGUCGGUUCGAGAAAAGUUUGAUUCUCAGGAAGAUGAGAAAUUGCUUCAAGCAACAGAGAAGUUUCAAGCUGAAUGUGCCUUAAAAUUUCCAAAUCGUCAGUGCCUUACAACAGUGGUUGACAUUAGUGGAAAAACCAUCUUUAUUACCCGUUAUCUCAAGCCUUUAAAUCCUCCUCAGGAGCUCCUUGACACCUACCCCAACAACCCCCAGGCAACAGCAGAACUGGUGGCUCGAUACGUGUCUUUGAUUCCUUUCUUGCCUGACGCUGUUUCAUUUGCUGGUGUCUGUGAUCUGUGGAGCACAUCUGAUCAAUUUCUUGAUCUCCUGGCGGGAGAUGAAGAGGAGCAUGCAGUAUUGCUGUGUAAUUACUUUCUAUCCCUGGGUAAGAAGGCCUGGCUGGUGAUGGGCAGUGCUGUUCCUGAGGGUCCAACUGCCUAUGUGCUAACUCGGGAGCAAAGUCACUAUUUAAUAUGGAAUCCCUGCAGUGGACAUUUUUAUGGACAAUUUGAUACAUUCUGCCCCUUAAAAAGUGUGGGCUGUUUAAUAGGUCCCGAUAAUAUUUGGUUUAAUAUUCAACAAUAUGAUUCCCCACUAAGGAUAAAUUUUGAUGUCACCAAGCCCAAGCUAUGGAAAUCUUUCUUUUCAAGAAGCCUUCCAUAUCCUGGCCUUUCCAGUGUUCAGCCAGAAGAGCUAAUUUACCAGCGCACAGACAAAGCAGCUGCAGCUGAACUACAAGACAGGUCACAUGAUAUCCAUAAAUCCACAUACAGUCUGUCACUAGGAGUGUUAAUAUGCAACUAAACAAUUCCCAGCCUGGAUCAAUGUGAAAUAAUUUGGGCAAUUAAACUUUAAUUCAUGUUUAUAAAUACAAAGUACAGAUAUGAUCUCUAAAUCCCAAGGCUCAACAGAAGGCUUUAGCAUCAGCAUGGUGUGAGACAUACAGCAGUGAAAUCCAGCAGUGACAGGUAGUUCCCCAAAAACCUUACCACAGAUUAGAGUUCAACAUCAUGUUAUUUAUGGGUCUCCUUCAGACAAUAUCAUAAUCCUCGGCUUAAAUAUGCCUAUAUUGUCCAAUUAUUGCUUAAGUGAACUUCAGCUAUUUUAAAAACCUAACACACGUAGAAGACUAAGUAAGAGCCUAUUUGAGCCCCAACAGUCUUUAUAACCCUGUAAAAUACAACUUAUUUUCCUAGUUUCACAAGUGUGGAAACGGAGGCACAGAGAGGUCCACGUACUUAUCAAGUGUUAAAGGGGGCUUCUGAGCCCAGCCAGGUCUUUCUAGUUUCAAAGCCCGUGUGCCCUUUCUACUCUCUCAAGCUGUGUGAAGAGCGGCAUGUCAAAUUGCACAAGAUUAAAUGUGACCCUUUUAAAGGAUUGAAAAAAUACUAAAAGAAAAAAUCAUGGACUGGAGGCCACGCCAUCUGACUCGGUGGAAUAGAUACUGUACCUCUACUCUGCG